rnacentral:rRNA from 1 species
UACGUAGGGUGCAAGCGUUGUCCGGAAUUAUUGGGCGUAAAGAGCUCGUAGGCGGUCUGUCGCGUCUGCUGUGAAAACCCGGGGCUCAACCCCGGGCCUGCAGUCGAUACGGGCAGACUAGAGUGCGGUAGGGGAGACUGGAAUUCCUGGUGUAGCGGUGAAAUGCGCAGAUAUCAGGAGGAACACCGAUGGCGAAGGCAGGUCUCUGGGCCACUACUGACGCUGAGAAGCGAAAGCAUGGGGAGCGAACAGG